AGUGGAUGGGGAGCAACCUAGUUGUGCGUGUGUAAAGGUAGUGCCAAGAAAAGCGAUGAUCAUGUUGAAAAUCAAUUCCCGGUACCCGAAACCGACACAGGUGGGCAAGUAGAGAAUACUAAGGGGCGCGAGGUAACUCUCUCCAAGGAACUCGGCAAAAUGACCCCGUAACUUAGGGAGAAGGGGUGCCACCGAGAGGUGGUCGCAGUGAAGAGGCCCAGGCGACUGUUUAGCAAAAACAUAGGUCUCUGCAAACUCGAAAGAGGAGGUAUAGGGGCUGACGCCUGCCCAGUGCCGGAAGGUUAAAGAAGUUGGUCAGUUUUAGGAUGAAGCUAGCGACUGAAGCCCCGGUGAACGGCGGCCGUAACUAUAACGGUCCUAAGGUAGCGAAAUUCCUUGUCGGGUAAGUUCCGACCCGCACGAAAGGCGUAACGAUCUGGGCGCUGUCUCGGAGAGAGGCUCGGCGAAAUAGGAUUGUCUGUGAAGAUACGGACUACCUGCAUUUGGACAGAAAGACCCUAUGAAGCUUUACUAUAGCUUGGAAUUGUGUUCGGGCUUCCUGUGCGCAGGAUAGGUGGGAGGCGUAGAAGGUAUUCUUGUGGGGAUACUGGAGCCAACGGUGAGAUACCACUCUCAGGAGGCUAGAAUUCUAACUUAAUUAAGGACAGUUUCAGGUGGGUAGUUUGACUGGGGCGGUCGCCUCCAAAAAGGUAACGGAGGCGUACAAAGGUUCCCUCAGACUGGUUGGAAAUCAGUCGAAGAGUGCAAAGGCAGAAGGGAGCUUGACUGCGAGAAGUACAGUUCGAGCAGGGUGGAAACACGGUCUUGUGAUCCGACGGUGCUGCGUGGAAGGGCCGUCGCUCAACGGAUAAAAGUUACUCUAGGAUAACAGGCUGAUCCCCCCCAAGAGUUCACAUCGACGGGGAGGUUUGGCACCUCGAUGUCGGCUCAUCGCAACCUGGGGCGGAAGUACGUCCCAAGGGUUGGGCUGUUCGCCCAUUAAAGCGGUACGUGAGCUGGGUUCAGAACGUCGUGAGACAGUUCGGUCCAUAUCCGAUGUAGGCGUGAGAAUAUUGAGAGGAGCCUUCCUUAGUACGAGAGGACCGGGAAGGACGCACCGCUGGUGUACCUGUUAUGAUGCCAAUUGUAAACGCAGGGUAGCCAAGUGCGGAGAGGAUAACCGCUGAAAGCAUCUAAGUGGGAAGCCCACCUCAAGAUGAGUAUUCUGGUGUAAGGUCACGGGAAGACGACCCGUAAAUAGGCACGAGGUGGAAGUGCAGAGAUGUAUGAAGCCGAAGUGUACUAAUAGACCGUCGGCUUGA
rnacentral:rRNA from 1 species